rnacentral:rRNA from 1 species
UUAAGCAUAUCAAUAAGCGGAGGAAAAGAAACCAACAGGGAUUACCUCAGUAACGGCGAGUGAAGCGGUAAUAGCUCAAAUUUGAAAUCUGGCUUCGGUCCGAGUUGUAAUUUGUAGAAGAUGCUUCGGGUGUGGCUCCGGUCUAAGUUCCUUGGAACAGGACGUCAUAGAGGGUGAGAAUCCCGUAUGUGACUGGGUGCCUUCGCCUAUGUGAAGCUCUUUCGACGAGUCGAGUUGUUUGGGAAUGCAGCUCAAAAUGGGUGGUAUAUUUCAUCUAAAGCUAAAUAUUGGCCAGAGACCGAUAGCGCACAAGUAGAGUGAUCGAAAGAUGAAAAGCACUUUGGAAAGAGAGUUAAACAGUACGUGAAAUUGUUGAAAGGGAAGCGUUUGCAACCAGACUUGCACGUUGCCGAUCAUCCGGUGUUCUCACCGGUGCACUCGGUUUCGUUCAGGCCAGCAUCGGUUUAGGUGGUUGGAUAAAGGCCUUGGGAAUGUAGCUUCUUUCGGGGAGUGUUAUAGCCCUCGGUGCAAUGCAGCCUACCUGGACCGAGGACCGCGCUUCGGCUAGGAUGCUGGCGUAAUGGUUGUAAACGACCCGUCUUGAAACACGGACCAAGGAGUCUAACAUCUAUGCGAGUAUUUGGGUGUUAAACCCAUAUGCGUAAUUAACGUGAACGGAGGUAAGAGCCCUUAAGGGUGCAUUAUCGACCGGUCCUGAUGUCUUCGGAAGGAUCUGAGUAAGAGCAUAGCUGUUGGGACCCGAAAGAUGGUGAACUAUGCCUGAAUAGGGUGAAGCCAGAGGAAACUCUGGUGGAGGCUCGCAGCGGUUCUGACGUGCAAAUCGAUCGUCAAAUUUGGGUAUAGGGGCGAAAGACUAAUCGAACCAUCUAGUAGCUGGUUCCUGCCGAU